rnacentral:rRNA from 1 species
UACGGGAGGCAGCAGUGAGGAAUAUUGGUCAAUGGGCGCGAGCCUGAACCAGCCAAGUAGCGUGCAGGAAGACGGCCCUAUGGGUUGUAAACUGCUUUUAUACAGGGAUAAAGUGCGCCACGUGUGGUGUAUUGCAGGUACUGCAUGAAUAAGGACCGGCUAAUUCCGUGCCAGCAGCCGCGGUAAU